UGCGACGUAGCUCAAAGGCAGAGCGUCCGCCUGUUAAGCGGGGAAAUGGUGGUUCGAGUCCACCCGUCGCAG
rnacentral:tRNA from 1 species